UACGUAAGGAGCAAGCGUUGUCCGGAAUCAUUGGGCGUAAAGCGCGCGUAGGUGGCCCCAUAAGUCCGCUGUGAAAGUCGAAGGCUCAACCUUCGAAAGCCGGUGGAUACUGUGGGACUAGAGUACGGAAGAGGCGAGUGGAAUUCCUGGUGUAGCGGUGGAAUGCGCAGAUAUCAGGAGGAACACCAAUAGCGAAGGCAGCUCGCUGGGACGUUACUGACACUGAGGCGCGAAAGCGUGGGGAGCGAACAGG
rnacentral:rRNA from 1 species